CCUACGGGAGGCAGCAGUGGGGAAUAUUGCACAAUGGGGGAAAGCCUGAUGCAGCAACGCCGCGUGAGUGAAGAAGUCUUUCGGGAUGUAAAGCUCUAUCAGCAGGGACGAAAAUGACGGUACUUGCUUAAGAAGAACCGGCUAACGACGUGCCAGCAGCCGCGGUAAUAAGUAGGUGGCAAGCGUUAUCCGGCUUUACUGGGGGGAAAGGGCGCGUAGACGGCAGCACAAGUCUGCAGUGAAAUGCCGGGGCGUAACCCCGGUACUGCUUUUGAAACUGUGGUGCUAGAGUGCUGGAGAGGUAAGUGGAAUUCCUAGUGUAGCGGUGAAAUGCGUAGAUAUUAGGAGGAACACCAGUGGCGAAGGCGGCUUACUGGACUGUAACUGACGUUGAGGCGCGAAAGCGUGGGGAGCAAACAGGAUUAGAUACCCGAGUAGUC
rnacentral:rRNA from 1 species